ensembl:lncRNA
UUACAGAUAGCCAGGGAACACUCCAACACUCACACAUCAUUACAGAUAGCCAGGGGAACACUCCAACACUCAGACAUCAUUUACAGAUAGCCAGGGGGAAAACUCCAACACUCAGACAUCAUUACAGAUAGCCAGGGGAACACUCCAACACUCAGACAUCAUUUACAGAUAGACAGGGGAACACUCCAACACUCAGACAUCAUUACAGAUAGCCAGGGGUACACUCCAACACUCAGACAUCAUUACAGAUAGCCAGGGGAACACUCCAACACUCACACAUCAUUUACAGAUAGCCAGGGGGGCACUCCAACACUCACACGUCAUUACAGAUAGCCAGGGGAACACUCCAACACUCACACAUCAUUUACAGAUAGCCAGGGGAACACUCCAACACUCAGACAUCAUUACAGAUAGCCAGGGGAACACUCCAACACUCAGAUAUCAUUACAGAUAGCCAGGGGAACACUCCAACACUCAGACAUCAUUUACAGAUAGCCAGGGGAACACUCCAACACUCAGAUAUCAUUACAGAUAGCCAGGGGAACACUCAGACAUCAUUACAGAUAGCCAGGGGAACACUCCAACACUCAGACAUCAUUACAGAUAGCCAGGGGAACACAAUCACACUCAGACAUCAUUACAGAUAGCCAGGGGUACACUCCAACACUCAGACAUCAUUACAGAUAGCCAGGGGAACACUCCAACACUCAGACAUCAUUACAGAUAGUCAGGGGAACACUCCAACACUCAGACAUCAUUACAGAUAGUCAGGGGAACACUCCAACACUCAGACAUCAUUACAGAUAGCCAGGGGUACACUCCAACACUCAGACAUCAUUACAGAUAGCCAGGGGAACACUCCAACACUCAGACAUCAUUUACAGAUAGCCAGGGGAACACUCCAACACUCAGACAUCAUUACAGAUAGCCAGGGAACACAAUCACACUCAGACAUCAUUACAGAUAGCCAGGGGUACACUCCAACACUCAGACAUCAUUACAGAUAGCCAGGGGAACACUCCAACACUCAGACAUCAUUACAGAUAGUCAGGGGAACACUCCAACACUCAGACAUCAUUACAGAUAGUCAGGGGAACACUCCAACACUCAGACAUCAUUACAGAUAGCCAGGGGAACACUCCAACACUCAGACAUCAUUACAGAUAGCCAGGGGAACACAAUCACACUCAGACAUCAUUACAGAUAGCCAGGGG